GAUGAACGCUGGCGGCGUGCCUAAUACAUGCAAGUCGAGCGAACGGACGAGAAGCUUGCUUCUCUGAUGUUAGCGGCGGACGGGUGAGUAACACGUGGAUAACCUACCUAUAAGACUGGGAUAACUUCGGGAAACCGGAGCUAAUACCGGAUAAUAUUUUGAACCGCAUGGUUCAAAAGUGAAAGACGGUCUUGCUGUCACUUAUAGAUGGAUCCGCGCUGCAUUAGCUAGUUGGUAAGGUAACGGCUUACCAAGGCAACGAUGCAUAGCCGACCUGAGAGGGUGAUCGGCCACACUGGAACUGAGACACGGUCCAGACUCCUACGGGAGGCAGCAGUAGGGAAUCUUCCGCAAUGGGCGAAAGCCUGACGGAGCAACGCCGCGUGAGUGAUGAAGGUCUUCGGAUCGUAAAACUCUGUUAUUAGGGAAGAACAUAUGUGUAAGUAACUGUGCACAUCUUGACGGUACCUAAUCAGAAAGCCACGGCUAACUACGUGCCAGCAGCCGCGGUAAUACGUAGGUGGCAAGCGUUAUCCGGAAUUAUUGGGCGUAAAGCGCGCGUAGGCGGUUUUUUAAGUCUGAUGUGAAAGCCCACGGCUCAACCGUGGAGGGUCAUUGGAAACUGGAAAACUUGAGUGCAGAAGAGGAAAGUGGAAUUCCAUGUGUAGCGGUGAAAUGCGCAGAGAUAUGGAGGAACACCAGUGGCGAAGGCGACUUUCUGGUCUGUAACUGACGCUGAUGUGCGAAAGCGUGGGGAUCAAACAGGAUUAGAUACCCUGGUAGUCCACGCCGUAAACGAUGAGUGCUAAGUGUUAGGGGGUUUCCGCCCCUUAGUGCUGCAGCUAACGCAUUAAGCACUCCGCCUGGGGAGUACGACCGCAAGGUUGAAACUCAAAGGAAUUGACGGGGACCCGCUCAAGCGGUGGAGCAUGUGGUUUAAUUCGAAGCAACGCGAAGAACCUUACCAAAUCUUGACAUCCUUUGACAACUCUAGAGAUAGAGCCUUCCCCUUCGGGGGACAAAGUGACAGGUGGUGCAUGGUUGUCGUCAGCUCGUGUCGUGAGAUGUUGGGUUAAGUCCCGCAACGAGCGCAACCCUUAAGCUUAGUUGCCAUCAUUAAGUUGGGCACUCUAAGUUGACUGCCGGUGACAAACCGGAGGAAGGUGGGGAUGACGUCAAAUCAUCAUGCCCCUUAUGAUUUGGGCUACACACGUGCUACAAUGGACAAUACAAAGGGCAGCGAAACCGCGAGGUCAAGCAAAUCCCAUAAAGUUGUUCUCAGUUCGGAUUGUAGUCUGCAACUCGACUACAUGAAGCUGGAAUCGCUAGUAAUCGUAGAUCAGCAUGCUACGGUGAAUACGUUCCCGGGUCU
rnacentral:rRNA from 1 species